CCCUUAGAUGUUCUGGGCUGCACGCGCGCUACACUGAUGCGUUCAACAAGUGUUAACCUUGCCCGAUAGGGUUGGGUAAUCUUUUGAAAGCGCAUCGUGAUGGGGAUCGACGACUGCAAUUGUUCGUCUUCAACGAGGAAUUCCUAGUAAGCGCAAGUCAUCAGCUUGCACUGAUUACGUCCCUGCCCUUUGUACACACCGCCCGUCGCUCCUACCGAUCGAAGAGUUAGGUGAAUUGUUUUGAUCGAUAAGAUUUGACUAUGGUCAACUCUCGUUGUGAAAUUCUGUGAAUCUGACUGUUUAGAGGAAGGAAAAGUCGUAACA
rnacentral:rRNA from 1 species